rnacentral:rRNA from 1 species
UACGGAGGGUGCAAGCGUUAUCCGGAUUCACUGGGUUUAAAGGGUGCGUAGGCGGGCAGGUAUGUCCGUGGUGAAAUCUCUGAGCUUAACUCAGAAACUGCCAUGGAUACUAUUUGUCUUGAAUAUUGUGGAGGUAAGCGGAAUAUGUCAUGUAGCGGUGAAAUGCUUAGAUAUGACAUAGAACACCAAUUGCGAAGGCAGCUUACUACACAGUUAUUGACGCUGAGGCACGAAAGCGUGGGGAUCAAACAGG